UACGAAGGGGGCUAGCGUUGCUCGGAAUCACUGGGCGUAAAGGGUGCGUAGGCGGGUCUUUUAAGUCAGGGGUGAAAUCCUGGAGCUCAACUCCAGAACUGCCUUUGAUACUGACGACCUUGAGUUCGGGAGAGGUGAGUGGAACUGCGAGUGUAGAGGUGAAAUUCGUAGAUAUUCGCAAGAACACCAGUGGCGAAGGCGGCUCACUGGCCCGGUAUGACGCUGAGGUGCGAAAGCGUGGGGAGCAAACAGG
rnacentral:rRNA from 1 species